GGAAAACUUACCAGGUCCAGAGAUGUAGAGGAUUGACAGAUUGAAGCUCUUUCUUGAUCACUUCGGUGGUGGUGCAUGGCCGUUCUUAGUUGGUGGAGUGAUUUGUCUGGUUAAUUCCGUUAACGAACGAGACCUCAGCCUGCUUUUGUAGUUACGUGCACCAUGGUGUGACGCGACUUCUUAGAGGGACUUUUGAUUUUGUAGUCAAAGGAAGUUUGAGGCAAUAA
rnacentral:rRNA from 1 species